rnacentral:rRNA from 1 species
UGGUAUGGACGCAGUCUGACCAGCCAUGCCGCGUGCAGGAUGACGGUCCUAUGGAUUGUAAACUGCUUUUGUACGAGAAGAAACAACAUUACGUGUAAUGUCUUGACGGUAUCGUAAGAAUAAGGAUCGGCUAACUCCGUGCCAGCAGCCGCGGUAAU